rnacentral:rRNA from 1 species
AAAUUGAAGAGUUUGAUCAUGGCUCAGAUUGAACGCUGGCGGCAGGCCUAACACAUGCAAGUCGAGCGGCAGCGGGAAAGUAGCUUGCUACUUUUGCCGGCGAGCGGCGGACGGGUGAGUAAUGCCUGGGGAUCUGCCCAGUCGAGGGGGAUAACAGUUGGAAACGACUGCUAAUACCGCAUACGCCCUACGGGGGAAAGGAGGGGACCUUCGGGCCUUUCGCGAUUGGAUGAACCCAGGUGGGAUUAGCUAGUUGGUGGGGUAAUGGCUCACCAAGGCGACGAUCCCUAGCUGGUCUGAGAGGAUGAUCAGCCACACUGGAACUGAGACACGGUCCAGACUCCUACGGGAGGCAGCAGUGGGGAAUAUUGCACAAUGGGGGAAACCCUGAUGCAGCCAUGCCGCGUGUGUGAAGA